GCGAUCCAUCCAGAAGGAUCGAGAGACUCUGACCUGACGCGACCCGGAGACCCGCAAAGAGGAUCCGACUGGCGCUACUCCUUCCGGCCACAGCACAGUGGUGGACCACCGGCAUUAUCUCCGCCUCGCCAUCGUCGUCACGCCCGUGGCCUCUGAUUUUCCAUGCAUUGAACAUCGAAGACCCGAAGCUCCGAGUCUCCUCCGGCGAGUUUCAACGAAUUCCGGCUACUCCGGUCACCGAUUAAGCUGCAUGUGGUAGGAAAAAUCAUCCUCUCGUCAAUAUAUAUACGUUAGACCAAUUAUUUUUUCAAUUCGAACGAUUUUGACUGAUUGGGUUUCUGGGUUACCUUCUGCUCCGCCGUGUUCUUCAACGCUGGCAACUUCUCCGGCCUUUCUGGGCUUCGUUUCUUGCUCGGCUGCACUCAUAGGCUAACAAUCGAAAAGCUUUCUGGUUGUUGGCAUCACACUCACCAGUUCAUCUUCGGCAGUGACACUGGGAAAUUGGGUUUUCGUCAUCAGGCUCGUCCUGGGAACUGAGUUGGGUUGAUUAAAGUUGAUCUCCGAUUUCGAAGGUAUAAUCUCGAACUAGAAUCACGUUUUGUCUUGUGUUAGUGAUCGGAAGUUAUGGAACUGAGUUUGGUUUGAUAUGGUGAAAUUGAAGACUCUGUUAUCAAAUUGGUUAUGUUGUCUUGUUUAUGGUGUUUUAAGUUGUUGCAAGUAAAUUUGGGAAUUGAUAUUUGAAUUGAGAUUGUGGACUGAAAUUGGCUGAAUGUGUUGUUUGUGCUUACGGUGAAUCUGCGUUUAUGAGAAUGGUGAAUUGGAUUGGAAUGGGUUGCUCGUAUGAAGUUGUUGAUAUGUAAUCGGGUUCUGUAAACUUGAAGUUUUGUCAUGAUAAUGGUUGUGAAGUUGUUGAUAUGCUCGUAUGAAGUUGUUGAUAUGUAAUCGGGUUCUGUAAACUCGAAAUUGUGUUUUUGGGUGACGUCGGAUUUCAUUGUGAUUCCGGUUUCCGGCAGCGGUUCCGGAGUUUUUGAUUCGUCUCCGAUAGCUAUUGUUGGGUAUUGUUGCUUGCGUUCCUUCGGAGUCUAUCUGAUCCUGCUGCACCAAACGAAGUCGAUCACUUGACUGCGCCAGUAGCUAAUCAAUUGCCACAGGUCGGAGUGUCGGACCUCGAAACCAGAAUUCCUAAUCUUCCUCGGGCCAUGUCCUUCCUCUUGUAGGGAAAAGGAGAUGAACGCAAGUAUGGGUCCUCAGACUUCAAAGGAAGUAAGGAACCCAGCAGUCUCGGAUUAAGAGAAUGGGGUUGUCCCUUCUUCGUAGAAAUCGUUUCACCCAUCGUCAACCGGGAACAGGCUAAGCCUUUCCCAUUAACAUUUCCUCUUUAUAUGUUUGACAUGUGAGCUGCACGUGUCUGGGCCCAAAGCUCCGAGCAUGCAAAGCUCCGAGCAUGGAAGACGUUCUCGACUUGGGAGCCCAAGUCUCAUAUUUGUCAUUUGAGACUUAUUCAGUUCCAAGACCCGUGCACUGUUCAUUGGGGCCACAACACUGGCUGUGCCAGCCUAAGUCAGGACGCAACGCGCCAGGAGGGGAGAAGGCAGCCAACGCGCUGGGCAGGAGGGAGAAGAAAGGAGACGCGCGCGUGGUGCGCUGGAGGAAGAAGAAAGCUGACUUUCAGCUGCUCUGCUGGGCCCUGCCUGAUGACGCUGUCCCCUGCCCAACGUGGUGUACUGUGCCACGGUCACGAGAAGGACGGCUCAGAUCUGUCCAUUUUGAAUAUAAAUUAUUUUUAGGCUGUACGAGUCCAUAUUGUAAUAAUUAUGAAGGUUCCGAGUUGGUCCUUCAGCUGCUUAAUAUUAAUAUUAAUACAGAAAGACUUACAGGUAAACUAAGCGUGGACUUGACUAGUUUUAUAGACUUGUAAACUUGGAUCGAUGAGAGUACCAUCAGUACUAUUCUGGGAAAAUUGAAGAUAAGUUUCUUCAAUCCCACAUUCAAAUGGGGAAGGGAAACCUUAUAAUUGCAAGCAGAUGGUUAAUCUUGCAGAAGAUAACCAGCAAUUGCGGAAGGAGAUUUCAAGAAAGUUGGGCUUGUACUACUUUUCCUACACUUGAUGCAAGAGGUUUCCAUCAAGUUCGUGGUGGCAGCUCAUCAUUGACAGAAGAGCUGGAGGGUAUUCUUAAUCCUGAAGAUCAAGGGAGGGAGAGUAGUACUAGCUCUAUGACCUGCAUUUACAAGGUUCCUAGCACCAUGCGUCAGGUGAACAGGAAGGCUUACGAGCCCAACAUUGUGUCCAUCGGUCCUUACCAUCACGGAGUUGAAAGCCUACAAGAAAUGGAGAAGCUUAAGCACACAUACUUUCGGCGCCUCUUUCAACCAAACUACCAUGAUCGGUUGGAUGAUGAAGUAGUGUCGCUGAAGAAGAAGGCGGUAGAUGAUGCGAAGAAGGCAAUGGAGGAAUUGGAGGUGGCGGCUAGGAGCUGCUACUCGGAACAAUCCAAGCUUAGCAGCAAGGCGUUUGUAAAGAUGAUGCUGAUUGAUGGUUGCUUCAUUAUAGGGUUGCUCAGGGACUCAUUGCAGUCCGAUUUUGAGCACACACCCUCCAUCAUUCAAAGGUGGAUGCUUCCAACUCUGCGCCGGGAUUUGAUCAAGCUCGAAAAUCAGCUUCCCCUCUUUGUCCUGCGCAAAUUAUUUCAGCUGACCAAAGCAAGCACUACUUGUCAUGAGAAACCAAUUGCAAGUUGGGAAUUGGAAGCACUAGCCCUUCGCUUCUUUGAGCCGCUACUGCGAGGACAUGAUGUUCUGACUGAAGCAAGCGCUACUUGUCAUGAGAAACCAAUUGCAAUUUGGGUAUUGGAAGCACUAGCCCUUCGCUUCUUUAAGCCGCUACUGCGAGGACAUGAUGUUCUGAACAAAACACCGCAGCAUUAUGCACCAAAACAAUGUCAAAGCAGCAGCAGCAAGCACUUUCUUGAUCUUUUCCACAGUAAAAUCAGUCCGGACUGCUCCACCUGUACAGCACUUCAAGCGCCGCGGCGAGGGAAGCAAACCAAGCAGAUUCUAUCAAUACAAGAGCUCAAGGAGGCCGGAGUCAAGUUCAGAACAGACCCCACUCGAGGGCCACUAGACAUCACUUUCGGCCGCGUCGCUUGGAGUUGGGGGAAGGUACUCACAAUCCCUCGAAUACACAUUGAUGAUCACAGAGGCACAUUGUUUCGAAACAUGGUUGCAUUCGAAAAAUGUGACCGCAACUGCCACCAAGAUGUUACAACCUAUUUGUUUUUCCUCGACAGCCUCAUCAACUCGGCCAAGGAUGUAGGGCUCCUGCACUACCACGGAGUCCUGCACCACUCUCUAGGCAGCAACAGGAGGGUGGCAAAACUCGUCAACAACCUUUGCAAGGAGGUUGGUCCGGAUGUUUCCAAGUCCUACUUGUACAAGGUGGUUAGAGAUGUCAAUGAGUACUAUAGUUCCAAGUAUGGAAAAAUAAGAGGCUUCUUGGUACACCACCAUUUUAGUAGCUGGUUGGUGGGCAUCUCUACUCUUGCAGCAUGCUUAGCUCUUUACCUAGCACUCAUUCAGACCGGCUGCACAGUCGCCACUGCCAGAGAAGACUUGCAUAAACACACCACAUUUGGAGACUUUCUGAAAGAGUCUUUGCUUUGGCAUCAUUUAUCUAGGUGGGUCAUUUGGAAAUGCCCUGUCAGUGGCAGUACUGAGAAUAACGCCCUUGAUCCUAAUGAUGAAGUACUGUGUAUACUACUUGACAUAGGAAUCGAAUUUUAUUAACUUAGCUUCAUCACAUCAUCACUAUGAGGAAUGUAGCUAGCUACUAGCUCUAAUGAAUCCAAACUCGAUUUUGUUUCGUGUGUGUUCAAUCCCAAAUUUCUUUCUUUCUCAUCCAAUUUUAUGUUGUUAUUAAUUCUAUUAUUAUGGGAUCUUUAUUUGCGAAAUGCAUAUUGAAUUUACCUUUGUAAAAAAUUUAUUCUUGAUCUUCAAUAUUCUCAUUCAAUUCGCGGAUGGAAAUGCUCUAAUAUAAGGAAUCAAAUUUGCAAGAUGUAAUAGAAACGUUUUCAAAAAUCCUAGUAUACCGCAAGAAUAAAUGAUGUGGGGCUCUACCCAAUUUAUUUGUUCUUCCAUUUGAUUAAAGUUCCAUGGCAUGACUCACGCGCGAGUAACCUCAAAGUUAGGUGUGGAAGUAAUAUGUUAAGUCCUAACUCCUAAGUCCCAAGUUCUGAGUAUGUAUAUCAUACUCUUGUGGUGAUUAUGCUGGUUGUGUCCAGAACUAGUGCUGGUUUUGUCCAGAUCAUAUACUCUCUUGUGGUGUUUAUGCUGGCUGUGUCCAGCUCUAGAGGGCCUUGCUCCUCCUAUUACUAUGUUAUUACAAUUUCUUGUCAAUUAGAUCGGAAACUUUUCAAAUCUGUUAUCAGCCCCCACAAUUCCUCUCACCCAAUAUCCCACAUCAACUCUCCUCCCUCUACCACUGAUUUUCAUGGAGAUUCUCAUGGCUACCUAUAUAAAGUGAAAAUCACUUACCAAGAGGAGUAUGGGUGCUCACGCGUGGGUGUUUCACCCCCCAUUAUCCAUUGUAUUUUUUCUCUGUUGCUGACUUUUGUCCCCCUUUGGUGGCAGUGGUUCUCUCCCGGAUCGUUGGGUUCUGGUGGAGAGGUGAACGUCAGUCUGCGGUAUUGGCUCCUCCCCCGUAUCAUCAUGUAUUUUGGGCUCUUCUAGCGACAUCUUGGUCGAUGAUUGUGAGGCAGUUCGUCUGCGUGCAAUUUGGCUGGGUUGGCGGCUGCAGUGAUAUCAUUUUAGGAUAUUUUCUUUUUAAUUUUCUAGGGUUACUUUCUUAUGACCAGAUUCAUAUGGAAUUAGGUUUGAUGUGUAAUUUUCCUACUCUUGUUUACUUUGUAAUUCAGAGCUUUGGACUCUCUCUUUGGGUUCUAUCCCUUUGGGUUUAUUAAUGAAUAUUGUCACUUUAACCAAAAAAAA